rnacentral:rRNA from 1 species
UACGUAGGCAGCAAGCGUUGUUCGGAGUUACUGGGCGUAAAGGGUGUGUAGGCGGUUGGAUAAGUGUGGUGUGAAAUCUCCCGGCUCAACUGGGAGGGUGCGCUACAAACUGUCUGACUAGAGUGUGGGAUGGGUAAGUGGAAUUCCGAGUGUAGAGGUGAAAUUCGUAGAUAUUCGGAAGAACACCAGUGGCGAAGGCGGGCUC